rnacentral:lncRNA from 1 species
CACACCAAUCUGAUAGCCCACAAUGUUUCUAAGAAGUCGCUACAAAAAACAAACAUCUGACUGAGUUUUUAAAAGGAGUCAAUUUGAGAAAUCUUCAUACUAGCUAUAUGUUAAAAAGCCUUAUCUAUUGAAGGCAGUGUUCACCAAACACGAUCUUUUCAUGUUUAACACUUAAGUUAAAUAGCCAAAACUCUGGACUAUCUUCAGAGAAAAGUGGAACAAACACUGUCGUAAUACCAUUCAACUUCAUGAAUCAAGAAUAUAAAACAAAAAAGAAAUUAAUGAAAAUUUUCAAACGAUGUAACACA